rnacentral:rRNA from 1 species
AUUGAACGCUGGCGGCAGGCCUAACACAUGCAAGUCGAACGAGUGGCGGACGGGUGAGUAAUGUCUGGGAAACUGCCUGAUGGAGGGGGAUAACUACUGGAAACGGUAGCUAAUACCGCAUACCAUCGGAUGUGCCCAGAUGGGAUUAGCGAGUAGGUGGGGUAAAGGCUCACCUAGGCGACGAUCCAUAGCUGGUCUGAGAGGAUGAACAGCCAAACGGGAACUGCGACACGGUCCAGACGCCUACGUGAGGUAGCAGUGGGGAAUAUUGCACUAUGGGCGCAAGCCUGAUGCAGCCAUGCCGCGUGUAUGAAGAAGGCCGUCGGGUUGUAAAGUACUUUCAGCGGGGAGGCGUUACCCGCAGAAGAAGCACCGGCUAACUCCGUGCCAGCAGCCGCGGUAAUUC